GUCAGCUCGUGUCNUGAGAUGUUGGGUUAAGUCCCGCAACGAGCGCAACCCCUAUUGUAUGUUGCUACCAUUNAGUUGNNCNCCCCCNCCNAUACUGCNUGCGAUGAGCAGGAGGAAGGUGGGGAUGACGUCAAGUCAUCAUGCCCCUUAUACGCUGGGCUACACACGUGCUACAAUGGGCAGUACAGAGAGUUGCCAACCCGCGAGGGUGAGCUAAUCUCUUAAAGCUGUUCUUAGUUCGGAUUGUACUCUGCAACUCGAGUACAUGAAGUUGGAAUCGCUAGUAAUCGCAAAUCAGCAUGUUGCGGUGAAUACGUUCUCGGGUCUUGUACACACCGCCCGUCACACCACGAGAGUUGGUUGCACCUGAAGUAGCAGGCCUAACCGUAAGGAGGGAUGUUCCUAAGGUGUGAUUAGCGAUUGGGGUG
rnacentral:rRNA from 1 species